GCUGCGGGCUCGGCCCCGCGCCUCUCGACGCUCCGCACUGCCCCGCGGAGCCAAGGGGAAGGGAGCCCGGCCCAUCCCCCAAGCUGGAGGCUUGUUUUUCUUCCACCCGCGGCUGGAAGGGAAGGAGGGAGCGCGUGCUCCGGGGACUGACCUAUGCUCUCUAAACUGUUAAAGCCUGAGCUUGAUAGGCGGGGGCCAGAUGGGAGAGACCCACAGGACGAAAGCAUCUUCACCAGGAGUAGAGUCCAGCUCAGGAAACCACUGUCUUUGCUCAUCCAUAAGAAGCAGCCCCACAGCUGUGAAAGUUUGAUCCGGAGAUCACAGCCAUCCAGUCACAUGUUCAGGCUCCCCUGCAGCUUCUAGUCCUCUUGCUGUUUCCACCACAUCUGCUCUUCCUGCCUCCACUGGAGUCCUGAGCCCUCCAAGUUACCCAUGAGGGCUGGGAUCAACUGCUUCCAGACUCCUGUUCAUGUUGAUACUGUGACCUCUUCCCAUGGAUCAUGAACAUUCUUAAUGGCAUGUAGAAUGGUAGAUCUCUUCCAGAAGGUUUUCAAUUGACUUUGCCUAGGGCCAUCAGAGGAAUCAAUAUCUGUGGCAGCUAUAGCCUUGCAAAAUAUGUUUCUUAAAUAGGAAGACUUGAAAGUUGAAAUUAUUCCUUGAUCCAUGGGCUGCAGAAUAAAUGUUGUGUUAGCCGGCAUAAAAAUGAUAUUAAUUCUAUUGUACAUCUCCAUCAGAGUUCUUGAUGACUAGUCGCAAAAUAUGAAUAUUUUGAAAGGAAUAUUUUUUUUUUCUCCUGACCAGGAGGUCUCAACAAUGGGCUUAAAAUAUUCAGUAAGCCAUGUUGUAAACAGAACAUGCUGUCAUCCAGGCUUUGUUAUUCCAUUUAUGAGCACAGCCAGAGUGGAUUUAGCAUAAUUCUUGAGGGUCCUGGGAUUUUUGGAGUGGUUAGUAAGCAUUGGCUUCAGCUUAGAUUUUAUUUAUUUAUUUGACAGAGAGAGAUCACAGUAGACAGAGAGGCAGGCAGAGAGAGAGAGAGGGAAGCAGGCUCCCCGCUGAGCAGAGAGCCUGAUGCGGGACUCGAUCCCAGGACCCUGAGAUCAUGACCUGAGCCGAAAGCAGCGGCUUAACCCAAUGAGCCACCCAGGCGCCCGCAUUGGCUUCAGCUUAAAGUUACCAGCUGCACUAGCCCCAAACAAGAGAGUCAACCAGUCCUUUGAAGCGUUGAAGCCAGGCAUUGACUUCUCUCUAGCUAUAAAAAUCCUACAUAGCAUUUUAUUCCAUUAGAAGACUGGUUAAUCUACAUUGAAAAUCUGUUGUUGAGUGUAGCCAACCUCACUAAUGAUCUGAGCUAUAUCUCUGGGAUAACUUGCAUGCAGCUUCUCCAUCAGCACCUGCUGCUUCCCCUUGCACUUUUAUUUUAUGAAGAUGGCUUCUUUCCUUAAAUCUCACAAACCAACCUCUUGCUACUAGCUUCCAGCUUUUCUCCUGCAGCUUCCUCACCUCUCUCAGCCUUCACAGAAGUGAAGAGAGUUAGGGCCUGGCUCUGGAUUAGGUUUUGGCUUAAGGGAAUGUUGUGGCUGGUUUGAUCUUCUAUCCAUAUCACUACAACUUUCUCCAUCACAGCGAUAGAUUGUUUUGCUAUCUUAUCAUUUGAAUGUUCACCAAAGUAAUGCUUUUGAUUUCCUUCUAGCACUUUUCUUUCACAUUCACAACUCCGCUAACAGGCGUAAGAGGCCUGGUUUUUGGUCUGUCUCGGCUUUUGAUAUGUCUUCCUCCCUACGCUUAAUCAUUGCUAGCUUUUGAUUUGAGAUACACACAAUUCUUCCUUUGAUUUGAAUGUUAGAGGCAUUCACUGUAAGGUUAUCAUUUCACCUAAUUUCAAUAUUGUAUGUCUCAGGGAACAAGGAGGCCCAAGCUAACAAAGAUGGGGGACCAGUGCAUCAGGUGGAACAGUCAAGAGUACAUACAAUGUUUAUUGAUUAAGUUCUGCAUCUUCUAUGGGCACAGAUCAUGGUGCCCCCAAACAAUUACAAUGAUAACAUCAAAAACCACUGACCAAAGAGCCUCAUAAUAAAUAUUUUUUAAAAAGUUUGAAAUAUUGCAAGAAUUACUAAAAUUUGACCUAGAAAUGCCAAGUGAGCUAAUGCUUUUGGAAAAAUGGUGCCAAGAGACUUGCUCAACACAAGGUUGCCACAGACCUUCAAACUGUAAGAACUGUGAUAUCUGCAAAACACAAUAAAGCAAGGUAUGCCUAUAGUACUGUAACAAUAGCUGAUGGGUACAACGUUAAAAAAGUAGACUCUCAAAAAAAGAAAAAAGAAAAAAGUAGACUCUCUCUGAUAAGUAUUUUUAUUUUGUAAACAGGGCCUUCAUUGUUUUUAAAGAGUUAAUCAUUCUACAGUUGCAUAAUUGACAUAUUUCACGUGUUCAAAACUACCAUAACAAAAUUGACUGUUGCUUUAAACAAAACAAUAUUUUUAGGGGAAAUUGGUAAAAGAAAAAUCUGUUUUAAAAUCUAGAGUUUAAGUUGCUAUUAAAUUAAUGAUAUAAAGGAAAAUAAACUGAUUUUGAUUACA